GCCCCCGAGCCUGGUACAGGCUGGGAUUGUAGUCCUGCAGCCUUGUGGCCGAAGGGCUGGGACUGGCCAUGAGAUUACAUGUCCUAGCAUGCUCAGCCAGGCGCGCGCAGCUCUGCCCCUUCCUCCAGUGAUGCGCACAGUCCCUGAUCCCUGUGCACGCUGGGAUUGUAGUCCUGCAGCCCUGCGAUCACUUGCAGGUAACAAGAAAUUUCAGCUUCCGGCAUGAUGGGCGAAGGCCCCCACCUUCAGCCUCGCUCCUCCAUGCCUUCAGAGCUGUUCCGCCAUGCAGACGGGGAGCCUGCCUGUUCUUUAACCUCUCCUACCUGAUGGGAGAGGACAAGCUACCAGGACAGCUUGUCUCACCAAGAAAUUGUGAUACCGCAUCCCCCAACGUGCUGGCUUCCUGACUUCCAAAGUUGCGGGACCAUUGCAAUUUAGAGACGUGGCCAUAGAAUUCUCUCUGGAGGAGUGGCAUUGCCUGGACACUGCACAGUGGAAUUUAUAUAGGGAUGUGAUGUUAGAGAACUACAGACACCUGGUCUUCCUUGACCUUUGGCCAGAGCAGAGCAUAAAAGAUUCUUUCCAAAAAGUGAUACUUAGAAGAUAUGAAAAAUGUGGAUAUGACAAUUUACAGUUAAAAAAAGGCUGUGAAAGUGUGGAUGAGCAUGAGCUGCUCAAAAGAGGUAAUAAUGGUCUUCACCACAGUCUGACAACUACCCAGAGAAAAAUAUUUCAAUGUGAUAAAUAUGGGACAGUCUUUCAGAAAUUUUCAAAUUGAAACAGACCUAAGAUACGACAUACUGGAAAAAAAUCUUUCAAAUGUAUAGUAUGCGGCAAAGCUUUUAACUCGUCCUCAAACCUUACUACACAUAAGAAAAUUCAUACUGGAGAGAAACCCUACAGAUGUGAAGAAUGUGGCAAAGCCUUCAAAAGGUCCUCACACCUUACUGUACAUAAGAUAGUUCAUACUGGAGAGAAAUCCUACAAAUGUGAAGAAUGCGGGAAAGCCUUUAAGCACCCCUCACAUGUUACUGCACAUAAGAAAAUUCAUACUGGAGGGAAACCCUACAAAUGUGAAGAAUGUGGCAAAGACUUUAAGUACACUUCUACCCUUAUUGCACAUAAGAGAAUUCAUACUGGAGAGAAGCCCUACAAAUGUGAAGAAUGUGGCAAAGACUUUUAAGUGCACUUCUAACCUUACUACACAUAAGAGAAUUCAUACUGGAGAGAAGCCCUACAAAUGUAAAGAAUGUGGCAAAGCUUUUCACCUAUCCUCACACCUUACUACACAUAAGAUACUUCAUACUGGAGAGAAGCCCUACAGGUGUAAAGAAUGUGGCAAAGCUUUUAACCAUUCCACAAUCCUUUUUUCACACAAAAAAAUUCAUACUGGAGAGAAAUUCUACAAAUGUGAUGAAUGUGGCAAAACCUUUACCUGGCCCUCACUACUCUCUAAACACAGGAGAACUCAUACUGGAGAGAAACCCUACAAAUGUGAAGUGUGUGGCAAAGCCUUUACUGCAUCCUUAACUCUAACUGAACAUCAGAGAAUUCAUACUGGAGAGAAACCUUACAAAUGUGAAGAAUGUGGCAAAGCUUUUAACUGGUCCUCAUACCUUCAUAAACAUAAGAGAAUUCAUAUUGCACAGAAACCCUACAUAGUGAAGAAUGUGGCAAACAUUUUAAAUAUUCCUCCACUUUUAAUAAGCAUAAGAUAAUUCAUACUGGAGAGAAACUGGAUGAAUGUGGGAAAGCCUUUAACCAGCCCUCGACUCUUACUAACUAUGAGAAUUUAUAUGGAACAUAAACUCAUACAAAUAUAACAAA